rnacentral:misc_RNA from 1 species
GUAAGUUUUGAAGCAAUUCAUACCUUGUUUUUCCCAAUAGAAUUAUGGAUUGGAUGCUUAAAUAUGGAGUUUUCAUUCUGUAUUGAGGAUUAUCAAAUUACCUAUUCUGGAAUCGCAGAAUCAUUUUAAUAAUUAUGCAUUUCAAUGCAAGUUGUAUCUUGUGAUACUUUAUCAUGCUUAUAAUUUAAAUCUUGAGAUGCAUUAUUGUGCUCAUAUUUUUGUAUUAAUGGAGUCAUUUUUGUGAUUCAAAUUGGAGUUUUCAUUCUAUUACCAGCAUGUCAUGAUCAUCCAUGGUGAAUAAUGGUGGUCUUGGAAUUAAGGUAAUUUAAAUUUGAGUUGUAUGAUCUGCAGGUUGAGGUUCUUCAUAUGAUGAUGUGAGCUCAUUUUAAUUGUGUGCUCAGCAUUGCAGUAAUUUUGCUAUUUGUUAGGGAUAUAUUAUUAGUAGUAUCAUUAGAAGUACUUUACUUUAGGAUUAUGAGUACUAGGGGUGUUGGGUGUACGUCAGCCCGCACAAAUUACCCAACCUGACUAAUCCAAACCAAACCAGUUCAAGCCAAUUUUUUUUUUUGUUUUAUGAGUUUAAUGGUUGGUAUUGGUUUGAUAUUUUAAUAAACUGAAAUAGCUGGUUUCAAUAUUUUAAUGGUUGUUUUCAGUUUGAAUUAUUUAUAAACCAAGAAGCUUGGUUUGGUUUAGCCAAUGUUGUUAAAGGCACUCUGAGGCACCAGGCGAGGAGCGAGGCGAGGCGCCGGGUGAGGCGAGGCGACCCUGUAGCUCCUUGCCUAGAUUGCAUGAGGCGAGCGCCCUAGAGAGAAAGGCGCUAGCCGAGAGGCGACAGAGGCGGCGCUUUUUUCAUGUAACAUUUACUUCUUUUUUUUAAUUUGUUUUUUUACACAUCAAAAGAUUAAAAAGCAAUUUCUUCAUAUAACACUUUUCAUCAUCAAGGAUGGCAACAAAUUAUGAACUAAAUCAGGGAUUACACAGCUAAUAAGGGAUUACAACAA